ACGAGAAUAUUCCGCAAUGGGCGAAAGCCUGACGGAGCGACGCCGCGUGAUGGAUGAAGUGCUUCGGUACGUAAACAUCUUUUAUCAGGGACGAAGUUAUUGACGGUACCUGAUGAAUAAGGGGCUCCUAACUCUGUGCCAGCAGGAGCGGUAAUACAGAGGCCCCAAGCAUUACCCGGAAUCACUGGGCGUAAAGGGUGUCCAGGCGGUCGUGUUAGUCGUUCGUAAAAUCCGCGCGCUUAACGUGCGGCCCGCGAGCGAAACGGCACGACUAGAGAGUGCGAGAGGUAUACGGAACUCGUGGUGGAGGGGUGAAAUCCGUUGAUAUCAUGGGGAACACCAAAGGCGAAGGCAGUAUACUGGCGCAUUUCUGACGCUCACACACGAAAGCCAGGGGAGCGAACGGG
rnacentral:rRNA from 1 species